rnacentral:rRNA from 1 species
CGGGAGGCAGCAGUGGGGAAUAUUGGGCAAUGGGCGCAAGCCUGACCCAGCAACGCCGCGUGAGGGAAGAAGGUCUUCGGAUUGUAAACCUCUGUCCUAUGGGACGAAACAAAUGACGGUACCAUAGGAGGAAGCUCCGGCUAACUACGUGCCAGCAGCCGCGGUAAUACGUAGGGAGCGAGCGUUGUCCGGAAUUACUGGGCGUAAAGGAUGCGUAGGCGGCAUUGCAAGUCAGGUGUGAAAUCCCCGGGCUUAACUCGGGGGGUGCAUUUGAAACUGCGAUGCUUGAGUGCAGGAGAGGAAAGCGGAAUUCCUAGUGUAGCGGUGAAAUGCGUAGAUAUUAGGAAGAACACCAGUGGCGAAGGCGGCUUUCUGGACUGUAACUGACGCUGAGGCACGAAAGCGUGGGGAGCAAACAGGAUUAGAUACCCUAGUAGUCA